CCUACGGGAGGCAGCAGUGAGGAAUAUUGGUCAAUGGACGAGAGUCUGAACCAGCCAAGUAGCGUGAAGGAUGACUGCCCUAUGGGUUGUAAACUUCUUUUAUAUGGGAAUAAAAUGUUCCACGUGUGGGAUUUUGUAUGUACCAUAUGAAUAAGGAUCGGCUAACUCCGUGCCAGCAGCCGCGGUAAUACGGAGGAUCCGAGCGUUAUCCGGAUUUAUUGGGUUUAAAGGGAGCGUAGGUGGAUUGUUAAGUCAGUUGUGAAAGUUUGCGGCUCAACCGUAAAAUUGCAGUUGAAACUGGCAGUCUUGAGUACAGUAGAGGUGGGCGGAAGUCGUGGUGUAGCGGUGAAAUGCUUAGAUAUCACGAAGAACUCCGAUUGCGAAGGCAGUUCACUGGACUGCAACUGACACUGAGGCUCGAAAGUGUGGGUAUCAAACAGGAGUAGAUACCCCAGUAGUC
rnacentral:rRNA from 1 species